AUGGGAAGAGGCAACACUGGGUUCCAAGAGGGAAGAUCGGUACGUCCGCUUUGUCUUGUCUGUGUCCCAUGUGGAGGGCGGGUUCAGGAGAGGGUUCGAUGGCCCAGGACAGUGCCCUUCAACAUCCCCUAUCUUCUCUGGUCACGUUCACACCACAGUGUGGGUACAGAGGGCGCAGUGACAUCUCGGGACGGAGAAGCGUGCUCUUCGGACAACAUGGAGAACAUCGUUCCUCAGUUUGUGGCUGUUCCUGUGACUCUCCCCAUUCCUGGAGACCGGCCGUGCCAUCGUACCAGCCCUGGCUGCUUCCCACCCCGUGACUCUCCAGGGCCUCCUGGCCCCCAGCACAUACCGCCCUCCAGAGCCUCCAGGAGUCUGGGAUGGCAGCAGGGGAGCUUCCUUCCGGGUGCUGGGACCAGCUGAGCUUCUCUGCCCUAGGAGCUUGGGAUGGAGGUGAGGAGCUUCCUUCUGGGUGCUGGGACCAGCUCAGCUUCUCUGCCCUCUAUUCAGAAAACAUUCUGAGUAUAACCUCAAUCCAGACACUUUCCUAAGGCAUGCACCAGUCAAGGUUCCUCCUAUGGAGGAAGGGUUACAAUUUAGUGGGGUAAACGCUGCAGUGAAAGUGAGCAGAGUGUGCUGUUGUUUCUAGAACACAGAAAAAGCUUUUCUAAGACUAUAGUUUGCUAGGAACAUUCCCAGAAAGAGUUUAAUUUGAGCCUUUAGGGUUAAGUAGGACAUGACAAGUGAUGGGUGUCAGACAGGAAAGAACCUGCUGAUCAUAACAUGCCGAGCCCAACAUUGCCUCUUCCUCGGUGUGCAUGUCUUGGGCAGAGGGUCUCCAGGACCAGCAGGACUCUUGGGGACUCCAGGUGCUGCUGAGAAGUGCUCACCUCCACGAAGUCUGCCUUCGUCCUGAAGCUAAGCGAAGCUCUCCCCACACCUGCCCAGUCCUCUGUCAUUAAGGAAUCUCCAUGCAACACACAAGGCAUGUUAGCCUGGCAUUGGAGAGCUCCAGAGCCACUGGAGGUGGCUGCGCCAACCCUGGUAUGUACAACUUCGGUUCGACACUGAGCUGUUUAGACCUUCGUGGAAAUAAAACUCAGGCGGAAUGGCAUCCAGACUGGAGAGAAGCAAGCUCAAGCCAAAGACACCUACAAGGAUGCUUCAGGGACUGUCCUUGCCAAAGAGGGGCAAGAACUGCCCAGAAGCUGUCCAGAAUAAACUAAAU
rnacentral:lncRNA from 1 species